UCGCAAAUAGAACAAAAAUCA
rnacentral:piRNA from 1 species